GGACCGGGGACCCUCAGAGGCGAGCCGGCUGCCUCGGGUCACACAUCCGCGAACUCCGGGGGCGGGCUCCCCAGGACGCCGCCGCCCCCCACGACCCCCGCCCUCCCGCUUCCGUGGAAAGCCGCCCCGACGACCCCCGUGCGGGUUGUUGAGGGGCCGUCCUUCGCCGACCGCUGUGGGAACACCUCCGCGCGUGCGGCGGGACGCGGCGAGUCAGGGGCAGGAAGAACGCACGGAUGGAGACAACAGGAAGGAAGGAAGGAGGCCUUCCUGGUUACAGGUGGCCACAGGAGAAUAGGCAGCGGCCCAGGACGAUCCAGGGUCCCAGUGGUGGUUGAGAAGCUGGUUUUUAGUGAUCACUCAGGAACAUCGACCUGGCCUUGUGGGGUCAGACUUUGCAUCUCAGUCAUCCCAGGGAGAAGAAGAAGAUGGUCCACACCCAAGUGCAGGGAACGCCGUGGCAGUCGGCCGGGCACCCGCUUCCAGGCAAGGACACCUUCUGCAUCAAGGAAACACGUGUUUCCAGAGUGAGGAGGCUGAAGGCAGGGCCCAGAGGAGAGCCGAGCUAUGGAAGGAGGAGAAACCUGAAGAUCUGGGUCCAGAGCCUCAGAUCUUGCACUGGCAGCACACGGGGACACAGCAGGUGGACUGGCAGCAGCAGGGUUUGCAGCAGCUGGACUGGCAGCAGGAUGACCCACAACCUGAAGAGCAAGAGCAGGGCUUGCAGCAACUGCACUGGGAGCAGCCACAAGAACCACAGCCCCCCUUGGAGCCCCCACAGGAGCCACAGCUGGAGCAGGAACAGGACUGGGUCAAUGUUGCGGAUUUCCCACGUUCAACGCUGUGAGACACCUUCCCCCCUCCAGAGCAGUGCCGCUCUCUACCUGAUUCCUGCUGAUGCCCCCAGGGAUGUGGUAUCUUCUUUGUGGCAACUGUGGCUGAGGAUGGCAGGAUUCUCAGCAUUGGGGAAGGAAUGCAUCCUCUGUUUACCUCCUCCGUAUUCCUGGACGAGUCCCUGUGGGCAGGGCAAUGGGCUUUGUGAUUACAGAAGGGAAGUUCACACAGCAUGGUCCUUGGGGACGUGUGAGAAGAGCUUCCCACUGCUUUGGAACUGUUGUGUGGACAGGUUCUUCUCUUGGAGGAAAACAAAGCUUGGAGCAGAACUUGAGGGGUGGGGGAGGACCGUGAUGGGUACAAAGAGCAACCAAGGGACAGGAAGGAUACUCCAGCCAGGAGGCAGGGCACUAGCGACGGUGUGGAGGCUGCAGGUGCAGGAACCUGUCAGUAUGGUCCACACUCAGAUGCAGCUCAAAUGUGUGAAGAGUGGAUGUGCAGGCUUACAACCUUCCAGUGUGCCUCAGCCGACACGGGGUGAAACCCAAACCCCUGACACUGGCCCAUGCACCUCUCCAGCUGGAUUUGACCACGGCCUUGGCCACCCAUCGUUCCAGAACCAAUCAGCCCAAAGCUCAGUGGAUCAGGAGUUCAGAUCUGGCCCUGGAUGGUGGAACAGGCUGCAUGAUGCGUGGGGUCUCAGCUGGGAAGGUACCAAUGGCUAA
ensembl:lincRNA